UGGGGAAUAUUGGACAAUGGGCGAAAGCCUGAUCCAGCCAUGCCGCGUGUGUGAAGAAGGUCUUCGGAUUGUAAAGCACUUUAAGUUGGGAGGAAGGGCAGUAAGCGAAUAUCUUGCUGUUUUGACGUUACCGACAGAAUAAGCACCGGCUAACUCUGUGCCAGCAGCCGCGGUAAUACAGAGGGUGCAAGCGUUAAUCGGAAUUACUGGGCGUAAAGCGCGCGUAGGUGGUUCGUUAAGUUGAAUGUGAAAGCCCCGGGCUCAACCUGGGAACUGCAUCCAAAACAGGCGAGCUAGAGUAGGGCAGAGGGUGGUGGAAUUUCCUGUGUAGCGGUGAAAUGCGUAGAUAUAGGAAGGAACACCAGUGGCGAAGGCGACCACCUGGGCUCAUACUGACACUGAGGUGCGAAAGCGUGGGGAGCAAACAGG
rnacentral:rRNA from 1 species